GUAACCGUGGCUCGGUGGUACGAGGUCUUUCCGCUGCACAUGCAGGAAAGAACGUUCGGUUCGAUUCCGAUCGGUUGCC
rnacentral:tRNA from 1 species